rnacentral:rRNA from 1 species
CAGUCUUACCUGCGGACAAUCAGCUUUUUGAGUGUGAUUAUGUGGAUUGUGAGGAGUUUAAUCACCCUCAUGUUUUGCAUAUUCGUGCUCUUGGGUGUACUUGCCCGUGUGGUAGGUUAACAUCAAUUUUGGUUAUCAUAAAAUGGCUGGAGGAAUGUAGCUUCGAUCUCGUAUUGAAGUG